GUGCUCCCUUUAGCAACACGUAGACUAAAAUUGGAAUGAUGCGGUGAAGAUGAGCAUGUCCCCUGAUCAAGGAUGACAUGCAAAUUCCUGAAGCAUUCCAUAAUUAA
rfam:Tupaia chinensis contig12791, whole genome shotgun sequence.